UGCCAGCAGCCGCGGUAAUACGUAGGUCCCGAGCGUUGUCCGGAUUUAUUGGGCGUAAAGGGAGCGCAGGCGGUCAGGAAAGUCUGGAGUAAAAGGCUAUGGCUCAACCAUAGUGUGCUCUGGAAACUGUCUGACUUGAGUGCAGAAGGGGAGAGUAGAAUUCCAUGUGUAGCGGUGAAAUGCGUAGAUAUAUGGAGGAACACCAGUGGCGAAAGCGGCUCUCUGGUCUGUCACUGACGCUGAGGCUCGAAAGCGUGGGUAGCGAACAGGAUUAGAUA
rnacentral:rRNA from 1 species